AACCAGUGUCUUUGAGGUGGUUGAUGGCACUGGAAAAAGACGAACACAACGGAGAAAUCCAGCACCUUGUUUCUUAUGGAUCUUCUUGUGAUUCCAUACACUGAUUGUAACUGAAUCAGACUUUUCAAUCUACCUAUUAUAUUUUAAAAUGCUGUAGAACAAAAGCUGUUUCUAACGCUUUUCCCCUGCUUCUUUCCUGUAUGCAGGCCUUGAACGAGCAGGACUCUUGCAGAUUUCACUUCACCUC
rnacentral:lncRNA from 1 species